GAUGAACGCUGGCGGCGUGCCUAAUACAUGCAAGUCGAGCGAACAGAUGAGGAGCUUGCUCCUCUGACGUUAGCGGCGGACGGGUGAGUAACACGUGGAUAACCUACCUAUAAGACUGGGAUAACUUCGGGAAACCGGAGCUAAUACCGGAUAAUAUAUUGAACCGCAUGGUUCAAUAGUGAAAGACGGUUUUGCUGUCACUUAUAGAUGGAUCCGCGCCGCAUUAGCUAGUUGGUAAGAUAACGGCUUACCAAGGCGACGAUGCGUAGCCGACCUGAGAGGGUGAUCGGCCACACUGGAACUGAGACACGGUCCAGACUCCUACGGGAGGCAGCAGUAGGGAAUCUUCCGCAAUGGGCGAAAGCCUGACGGAGCAACGCCGCGUGAGUGAUGAAGGUCUUCGGAUCGUAAAACUCUGUUAUUAGGGAAGAACAAAUGUGUAAGUAACUAUGCACGUCUUGACGGUACCUAAUCAGAAAGCCACGGCUAACUACGUG
rnacentral:rRNA from 1 species